GGAUAUUGUGAACCUUCGCUAGAAAUGGUGAAGGGAGUUAUACAUAGAGCCUGAGAUGCUCUGCCGGCCCUUAUGACUUCACUCAGACGUGGGUGGAUGGAGCUCCCAGACGUGGGAGACCUCCCAGACAUGGGAGACUUAUGUUUGGUGGUCAUUCAGAAAUGGAUGUACCAUAUUAUGUUAUGGUCCCACUUCACCUUCUGUAUGUUUGAUAUGAUAUCCAGAGCUUUGGUUAUGUGUUUCUGUACAUGCUUUGGAUAAGAAUGAUAUGAAUGCAACGUCAAAGACGACGUUUGAGCUUCUGUUUGGUAUUUGUUAUUGAUAUGCUCCGAAAUGUUCC
rnacentral:lncRNA from 1 species